AUCGCUCAGUGGGCGGUCGCGUAUAUCGUUGGAAACUCCCUUGCCGCGCUCACGAUAAUGUGCACGGGCGCCCGGCGCGGUCUCGCUUGAAAAAAUUGCUAAACAGCGACCUCUGGUCACAGAAUUCGAUAGGUCACAGAAUUCGUCACAACAACUGUUGCGAUCUCCCUUUACAGACACUGCUACCUCUCGCUCUCUUUGCUUGACAACACACUCACUGACGUCACUAACUUUUACGCUCGUGCAAUGCAUAAUGCAUGAUUCGCGGGCUAAAUGUUAAUGUUCACAUUUGUAAAAUGCAGAAAGACGUGCCCCGGAUCGUGAAGUUCGCCUACGCGAAUUUUGCUUCUAAUGCUGGAAAGAGCAGCGCUAAAUGUUAUGUGUGUAUAAUCGCACAAUUGAGGAAAAGACUGGGACAACCUCAAACUUUAACAGACACGGAUGCACCCAGAAAAGAGGUGCUGUCUUGGAAAACGAGGGGUCUGAGAAUGCGGGUCUGUAGCUGCAGGCUCCGAGUCUUAGUCAGGUGGAGGGAGGACGGCAGGUUGGCACGGUGCAGGAGGCAGCUUUUCAGAUGACACAGGGGUGUUCUUGGAGAUAACGGCUGGCCGCCAGCACAGUAGAGAAUUCCUCCAGCAUCUGAAACCUGGGCAGAGGAUUCUCACUGCAGACAUCCUCCUGUAAAACAUACAAAGAGAGAUAACACACACACAGAGAAGAAGGAGAGAGAGAAAAGUUGCAGCUGGCAUCACGAUUUGAGGCGAUCUGUGAGCGGCGCUGAGUAGACUCGGUGUAACACGACUUCCCAGCUGCGGUCGGAGCUCCACCUGGCGAUUCCACUGAAGAGGUAGACCUGGUAAGGCCGUGCCGCACAGUGGGGACCUGAACAUCCCAACCACAGGUUACCUGCAAUCAUUUGGAGCAGCAACUUGUGGAACCCCUCCAGGCUGUUGCUCCCACGCAGGCCCUUGUAAUAGGGCAGGUCCACACCGUUGAUGGUCGUUGUGCGAGGAACCCGGUACAUGGCCAUGCCUGGAAGGUCCUGGAUGCAUUCCAGGUGUCGCUGCUGGCUGGCCCACAUCUCAUCAAUGGCUGCUGUAAACACAAAAACAUGCAUGGUGAGCUGUUGUCAUUUUGCACAUAUUGACGUUUUGUCUGUGUGCGUGUCUGUGCAUAUGUAUGUAUGUGUGUGAGGUGUUUUUUCUCACCAGGGGACUUGAAGAGGCUGACAUCGCUCUCGUUGAGCCCUGCUGGACCCUUGAGCUCUUCAAUGACCAGGUGGACAAGACGAAAUGUCUCCUGGGCACCGAGGGUGACACGAUGGACAUGAUGUUUGAGCUGGACCAUAUCCUCGUCACUCACCACCUUCAUUAUGGCCGGGUGUCUGGCCCUGACAGCCUUGAUGAGGAGCUGGAGGUCCUCGCGGUUAUAGGCCAAUCCUGUCACGUACUUCGAGUGGGCCUCGGUCUGCAGAGCAGCAUCAAAGCGAUGGAGCCAGUGGAAAAUGUCCAGCCUCACCACCAUCCCGUCUCCAAGAGAGUCUCCACGACCGUCGGACCCUGCCUUGCAGCAUCCCCGGUCAAUGUAAAGGUUGAUUGGCGUGCCAAAACCGCUUCAUCACCCCACGGCACAUGGGCCCCAGCUUUUCCACAGACUCGUCACAGGUGAGAACAAAAGACAUGAUCUGGAAAAACUCGUUCCCGAUGCUGGUGAACCACUCGGCCGAGCCCUUGCCCUCCCCAGACAAUUUCUUUACCACCUACAACAAAACAAACAAAUACAAAACAGUUUAGUUUAGUUUUGCAUAAUGUGGUGUUUCGUGCAUAAUGUGGUGUUCAAUGUGGUGCUUAUGCUUGUAUGUCAAAACACUUGCUUUCUUUGAGGAGUCCAUUUUCAGGACGGUGUCGAACAUGGACAGUAUCUGGCUCUGGUAGUCCCGAACAUUUUCCGCCUCAGCCACGAGGAAGGUGUGCCGCAGGAGCCGUGCGCAGGGAGCUCUCAGGGAAGAGGUGCCGCCUGGAACUCCCCGUGGCCCAAUGCAAAGACAAUGCCUCCGGAUUUCACCAAGACCAUGAGGAGCGUGGUGUAGAGGUCCUUCCUCUGAUAGUAGUCCUCCAUAUGGUUCUACUGCACCUGCCGCCACACCUUAAUCAUGGUGUUCCCCUCUGUGCAGUCAUGCAGGAGGCGAAUCACAGUUUUGUCCACCCCGCGCUUUACGGUCAGCUCAGCUGCGCCAGAAUGGCAUCGUUCCAUGCCAGCCACCGAUGCCUGGGAACACUCGCUCCACCCCUGCUGGCAUCCUUGAGGCACGAUCCACAGGAAACCACCUCUGUCCCCAUUGUGUACCAAUCGGACCCUUUGCAGAUGUGACGUACCUAAAACACACAUCGUAAAGAAAGAGAGAGAUCACAUAUCAAUCACAGAUCAGCAUUCAUGUGUGAAGAGACUAAGCCUUACCCGGAUGUGGUAACCACACUUGGAGAGGUAUGUGUUGCCUCCACGCCAGCGCACUUAUCACCCCUCGGACACGUCAGGGAGCACUGCCACACUCUGAUAGGGCACCAGAAGAAAACACGGUGGCAGAAAAAGGCCUGUGGAGUGGGGAUGCAGCCACUAACGAAGUCGGGUGAACAAAUACAUGAGGAUUUGUGUUCGGACUUCGGAACGAUAAUAGUCACUCUGCGACAAGGUGGUGGCAGACGCAGUCUGGCUGUUGGAGGUCGAUGGUGGCGAGCAUCAGGGGGAGACUCACCAGGUGCUGAGGACGGCAGGAGUUUUGGUUGUUCUGGAUGCACACUAGACGUUGGCUGCUCUGGACACUCAUCAGACACACCCUUGCUUGUGGAGGUCACUGUAACCAACCUCUUUAUCGAGAAUGUAGCGCCUGAAGUGCUUCAGGGACUUGGUGGGGAUGUCCUCCUCCUUCAUCACCAACCACUGCUUUGUAGAUGUGUACGCCCCCUGCGCCAUUUUCCUCUCUUGGCCGGUCCCAGCUUGCGGGCCGGUCUGAAGGGUCUUGUGCAGGCUGUACCACUGCCACAUCUCGAGGAACGUGAACGACCUGAAGCGGCUCUGCCCGUAAAUGGCCCUGUCCACACUGACCUCGAGGUGGCAGGAGACCGGAGGGAACAGUCAUUAUUUGUUUUUGUUUUGUCUUUUACAUGCAGAUCAAUGAUACUGAAAUUUCACAUAAUGUAAUUCAUUUGUGAAAAUUUUUAUUCUGUUUUGUGCAACAUACUCACUACUUAAUUUAGCCAACAUCAUUCUCGACCAGACAUUUAAAGCUUUGGCCAUUGUAUUUUCCAAAGGUCAAAUGAAGCUGGCCGAGAUACUGCUCCUCUGAUGGAGUCGAGGUGAAGUGCCAACAUCUCUUUUUAGCUGAAGACACAGACAAGCACAAAAACAUUAUAUGCUGCAGUAGGGGUGU